CGGGAAUGUAAAUGCAGAAAAAUAGCAGAUCUGCUAUUGAAAAAAAUGAUAUCACAUGAGGUCACUCCUUAGAACUUUGAAUAGAGACGAGAAGAGAGAGCUCUGAGAAAGAUUGAUAAAGUAAGCUCCAUUGGACGGAUUGUUAAUUUUCUUCUGUACAUGAAAAGUGUCAACAUUAAUUGCUUUAUGCAUUGCAGAUGACACCAUCUAGCAUCUAAUACCGAAUCCCCAAUAUUACGGCAAAGCCACAAAGAAGCAAAAGUGCACCAUUUCCUCCAGGCAGGAUAGAUGACCUGCAGAAUCCAAACAUGCAAUCGGUUAUAAUCAAGAAAAGAUAGACAUGGCGGUACAGCAGUAUAUAUAUAUAUGGUAAUGUUAUUAUUUAAUAUUAUUUACAUACAAUGUUAUUGAUAUAUAAUAUUAUUUGCAUAUAAAUAAUUAAAACUUCAAGAGUAGUAAUGUUUAAUAUUUUGGACUCACUGUGUGUACGUAUAAAAAAUUAUUUGUUAGAUUAUUAAUAAUUCGUUUAUUUUUUAUGUUGGGUUUGUAUCUCAAUAUUUUAACAUGAUUAUUAAUUGAGUCAUAUUUGCAUUAACGUAAAUUUAAUAACAUGACACGGUGACCUAUUACUUUAUUUCUACCUUUUUUUUAUUUUAAGAUACUAUUUUAAAAAUAAAACUAUAAACAUAUUUUUAAAUUUACCAAAAAUCAAUUAUUUCUUACUAUAAAACAUACAAAAUUAACAUAAUUUGAUAAUAAUGAUUGAUUAAUAAGGAUUGAGUCAAUCAAUUUUUGUGUUGAUUUACAAUCAAUAUUUUUUAGUUAAUAUUUAAAAUAGAUACAAUCGAUGAUUUGAUUGAUUGUAUUGACUGAUUGAUUGUUUUUCGCUGUACAAACUUAACUUCUAUAUAUAUAUAUAUAUAUAUAUAUUUUUAACACUUAAAUCAAAUUUAGAUCCCUAUGUAAUUUCGGAGGGUAUUGGGAGAGCCGGAGAGGGCUGUACAACUUAAAAUGUCCAUCGUUUCUACACUUAAUUGGCAAGGAUAGAAACCAUUCAAAGAUUGAGGUGUCUUCUUAUCAUGAAUCUGUUGACAAGUGCGGCAGCGUUUGACGAAGAACACGCAGGACUCCUCGUGCUUUCUACCUAUUUAUCAAAUGUUUAAUGAAUGAUUAAUGCUCGAAAGACAUCGAGGCCCUACCACAGUGUCGAUGCCACCACUGUGUCACGGGGUGAUAGUUUUGCGUAGCAAGUUCCCGUGCGGCACUUGAGCGACCUUAGCGUGUGAGUCGCCAAGUAAGUCUAGAUUACUCCCUAAACAAGCCAAACACGCAUACUUGGAGAAAAUGUUAAGGGAAGUAAGAGUGGAAUGGCCAAAGAUGAUUGUAUUGCAUUUUGAAUAAUUACAAGAGUGUUUGUACAAGAGAGCUUGAGAGCUAGUGUGCUAGGUGUGUUGUGUGGGUGUG
rnacentral:lncRNA from 1 species